UUUAAUAAGAAAUUCUGUCAAAAAUGGACCAAUGCUCUUACACUAGGAUAAUAUAUAUUGAAAUUUCAACAGUAAGAUUACAACUCAUUUCCGCUGCAUACAGAACGCCAGGAAGUAAAUAUUUCAGCUCAUUGUUAACCACCACAGUAUCUUCAGUAAAAUCUAAAGAUUCUCAAAUAUCAAGGACGAUAAUGUCAUGUCAAGGUCGUCUUUAACUCGAGUAAGACCCAGCAACAGCUGAAGCAGCAAGGGAGGCCAUAGUCACAUUCGCCCGCGUCCCCAUUACUAAAAAGAGGAAAAAGAUCAAGAAACUGCAACGAGCAGAAGCGCAAACCUGCCGGACGAGAGGGACGGUGGGAGCGAGGAAGAUGCAGAUGCUCUUGCUCGGCUUUCGGAUG
rnacentral:lncRNA from 1 species